rnacentral:SRP_RNA from 10 species
CGUGUUGAUGUGACGAAGUUGCCUCCCGAGCUUGGCUAUCGGUCUGGCUUCACUGUGUAUGACGAGUAUGCAGCUCUCCAGUUGAUCAAGAAAUUGAAAGAAAGGGUUCAGGGCGGUAAGACAGCAGA